rnacentral:rRNA from 1 species
GAACGUACGCUGGCGGCACGCCUAACACAUGCAAGUCGAACGAAGUAGCAAUACUUAGUGGCAGACGGGUGAGUAACAUGUAGGUAUCUGCCCUUUGGCCUGGAAUAACACGAGGAAACUUGUGCUAAUACCGGAUAAGUCUUUACAGAGAAAGCUUUAUGCACCAUUGGAUGAGCCUGCACUUGAUUAGUUUGUUGGUGGGGUAAUGGCCUACCAAGACUUUGAUCAAUAGCUGAUUUGAGAGGAUGAUCAGCCACAUUGGGACUGAGACACGGCCCAAACUCCUACGGGAGGCAGCAGUGGGGAAUCUUGCACAAUGGAGGAAACUCUGAUGCAGCGAUGCCGCGUGAGUGAAGAAGGCCCUUGGGUUGUAAAGCUCUUUCGUCGGGGAAGAAAAUGACUGUACCCGAAUAAGAAGGUCCGGCUAACUUCGUGCCAGCAGCCGCGGUAAUACGAAGGGACCUAGCGUAGUUCGGAAUUACUGGGCUUAAAGAGUUCGUAGGUGGUUGAAAAAGUUGGUGGUGAAAUCCCAGAGCUUAACUCUGGAACUGCCAUCAAAACUUUUCAGCUAGAGUAUGAUAGAGGAAAGCAGAAUUUCUAGUGUAGAGGUGAAAUUCGUAGAUAUUAGAAAGAAUACCAAUUGCGAAGGCAGCUUUCUGGAUCAUUACUGACACUGAGGAACGAAAGCAUGGGUAGCGAAGAGGAUUAGAUACCCUCGUAGUCCAUGCCGUAAACGAUGUGUGUUAGACGUUGGAAAUUUAUUUUCAGUGUCGCAGCGAAAGCGAUAAACACACCGCCUGGGGAGUACGACCGCAAGGUUAAAACUCAAAUGAAUUGACGGGGACCCGCACAAGUAGUGGAGCAUGUGGUUUAAUUCGAAGAUACGCGCAGAACCUUACCAACACUUGACAUGUUCGUCGCGACUCUAAGAGAUUAGAGUUUUCGGUUCGGCCGGACGAAACACAGGUGCUGCAUGGCUGUCGUCAGCUCGUGUCGUGAGAUGUUGGGUUAAGUCCCGCAACGAGCGCAACCCUCACUUUUAGUUGCCAUCAUUAAGUUGGGCACUCUGAAAGAACUGCCAGUGAUAAGCUGGAGGAAGGUGGGGAUGACGUCAAGUCCUCAUGGCCCUUACGUGUUGGGCUACACACGUGCUACAAUGGUAUCUACAACAGGAAGCAAGACUGCGAAGUUAAGCAAAUCCCUAAAAGAUACCUCAGUUCGGAUUGCACUCUGCAACUCGAGUGCAUGAAGCUGGAAUUACUAGUAAUCGUGGAUCAGCGUGCCACGGUGAAUGCGUUCCCGGGUCUUGUACACACCGCCC